GUCAGCAUGGCAUAGUGAUUUGAGUGUUAGACUGUAACUCUGAGCUCCAGGGUUCGAGUCCCAGCUCAGCCA